GGUUCGUCGUUUAUUUAUUGCACUUCAUCAAUUUUGUCGAUACUCGAUUGUUCGAGAUAUUCGACGAAUGUUCGAUCGAAUAGGUUGGAAAAAGUUGUUGCAAGUCAAGAAAGUGCAUUGGUACGUGUAUUUUCUAUUUUUGGAAUAUGAGAGAUGUUGAAAUAUUUAAAAGUUUGAAUAAGAUCCCUCACCCUCUAAAAGUACUCUACCAUGAUUGGAUCUCAGACCUCA
rnacentral:lncRNA from 1 species